GGUGGAUUGCCACCCAUCCCAUCGCCUGCAUGUGAAGCGUGUGACUGUCGGGCAGGGAGGGGCAACCUCCAGAGGUCCGUGGGUGUCACCGUCUUGGAAGAGGGCCCCUGUGCCUUCAGCCCCAUGCUCAUAACCUUUUCUUCUUCUUCACGAAAGUCCACUUGCACCUCCUUAUAAUUUAAGCUCUUAUAUAGGUCAUCAGGCCAGUUCUUGGGGCGACCCUUUGCAGAAGAUUCCAGGCACAGAGCGCUCAGGACUCCUUCACUCGUCUCUCUUUCUGGAAGAGCUCGGAGACUGUGUCGCUGGCCCAAAGCCCCACAGACUGGUUCUUCUCCCAUGUGCCACGAUUGGGCAUGUGAAGGCCUGGCCCCUGGCUCCACAGCCAAGCGGUCCAACUCACUGAGCUGUCCCAUUAACUGCACCCUCUUACAGACCCUUCCUCACACUUAAAAAUGGUUUGGGGUGUGGAGCUGGUAUGCUUGGGACCCCUUCUGAGCGUGGCAAAAAUGUACUUCACAAUAUUUGGUUUGGGGGAGGGGGCAGCAAGGGAACUUUGUGAAUCCUUUUUACUUCAUUUUUUAAAAAAAUAAAGACAAAACUCAAUGUAAAACACAUGAUGUUUGUAAAAACAGGAAUUAAAACCCUGCUAGUUUAAACAUAUACAACAAAUGUUCAAAUAAGUUGCUAAAUAUAGACACACAUAAGAAUUAGAUCAAAAGAAGGAUCUAUAUUGAAACAGAAGCAUAAUACAAAAAGCAUAUUAGUGCUGUACAGUACUGUACUGUAAAGCCCAUUGUUCCAUAGAAGUGCCUGGGAGGAGGGUGGAAAACCUUAAUUUUUUUAAGGCCACAGCAGGGCUGGUGGCCGGAACAGAUUUUUCAAUGUUUUUGUUGCAAAAGAUCCCUCUUUUGAUUUUGUCAACAAUGGCAGAAAAUCCACAAUCUGCAAGCAUAGUUUCCCACUGCUGGCAAUGAAAAAUGCAGCAAUGAAAGGAAUAGCAGCAGCUCACAGGUCUCUGCUGUGACACCCCACCCCCCCCCCCAGGCCUGAUGCCUGAUAGGAUGGAUGCUCCUUGCCUUAAAAAUCUAACAUGUUUGUGCCUUAUAUUGUCAGGUGCAUUGUUGCCAUCUCUCCAUCCCUGCUGGAGCAGGAUGUAACCCGUUGGACCUUUUGCCACAAUACUUCUGUUAGUCUCUAAAAUGGUGUGCGAUAGCUCUGUAUUUUUCUGUAAACAACUUGGCUCCUCUGUCACUGUGUGGCAGAUUUUAUAUUAUUGCAGUUGUUCUUGUUAAUUUUUUUCUGGCUCGCUCAGAGAUGGAGGGCUCAGCAUGGAGUGAGAGUGGAAGGUUAGGUUUGUUUGCCACCACACAAUGAACGUUUUCCUCAUGUUUGUUUUUCGAAUUGCCAGAUAACUGGGAAUUGAUCAAAAUUCAGCUGCUGUUUGAGGGAGUU
rnacentral:lncRNA from 1 species